rnacentral:piRNA from 1 species
CAGGACGAUCCAAUUUCUGGCACAGUAC